AAAAUUUAAAAUAAAAAUACUAAAAUAGUAAUUAAAUAUUUAUUGAAACUUAAAUAAUUUGGCGGUAUUUUAGUUCAUUUAGAGGAAUCUGUUUAAUAAUUGAUAUUCCACGAAUAAAUUUACUUAUUUUAUAAUUUUGUAUAUCGUUGUUAUAAAAAUAUUUUUUAAUGAAAUUAAUGUUUAAAAAUUAAUAUGAAAAAUUAAAUCAAAUCAAGAUGCAGAUUAUAAUUAAGAAUAUAAUGGAUUACAAUAAAUUUAUUUAAAUGGAUUUUAUUUUGUAAUAUUUAAUUGAAGGUGGAUUUAAAUGUAAUUUUAUUUAAUUUAAUAAAAUGAUUAAAAAUUAAAAUAUGU
rnacentral:rRNA from 1 species